GAGAUACUCCCUCCGUCCGGAAAUACUUGUCGCACAAACAGAUAAAAUUGGAUGUAUCUAAAACUAAAAUACAUCUAGAUACAUCCAUUUCCACGACAAGUAUUUUCGGGCGGAGGAAGUACCAU
rnacentral:pre_miRNA from 1 species